GUAUUAUGCAUUUGUACAACAUUUGUUACACUUUGUUUAAUUGUCUUUUAUAGAUUACCAAUAGAGCAUUUAAAAGAAAUGAAUGAAAAGUGUGUGCAGAGUGCUGCUCUAUAACUGAAUGGGUCACUUGGAAUUCAUUUUGUCUACAUCCUGGACUGCACGUAGGGAGACAAAAAAAACCCGCCUGGGAUUGGAGAGGAGGAAUGUGGCAGGGCAUGGGAAUCGCAGUGUCCUGGUGGUCACCGAGCAUAUUUUGGCUUGUCUUAAAACAAGCAAGCACCGUUGGACCUUUGGAAUCCUAACAAGUGAAGAAAUAUUAUUUCCUUCCUGACUCACUGAAAAUUCAAGUAGAGAAGACCGUGAAGAAUCUGGGCAAUAUUUCUCAUAUUUAGUUCUGUAAGAUUUUAUUUAGUUGUGCUCUGACCCUGGGUACUCUUGAGAGCUAAGAGAUAUAGAAAAUGUCUUUUGGAGUUUGAGAACCGGGGUUCAAAAUCCUAAUCCUGUCUCCUUUUAUCCAUAGGAUUUGGGCAAGUUACUUAAGGUCUAUCACCAUUUUCUUAUCUGUAUAAUGGACUUAAUAAUAGUAUCUACCUGAAAGCAUUAUUGGAAGGAGUAAAUGAAUACUUCAGCUAUAGAACAAUGUCUGUCACAAGAUAAGAAAUUUCAUUCUUAUUAUAGCCCCAUCAGUUGAUAUGUAUUACAGCAUCUAGGACUCUGAUAUGUAAAUUUUACUUAGACACUUUUAUUCCUUUGUAUGUUUUUAAGAGUAAUGCCUUGAGACACUUUUCAUCUCCGUGUUCUUAAUGUAACAUCACAGUGUUUCAUUCAAAGUUACUCCAUAAACAUUUGUUAAAUGGAUGGCUGGAUGGAUGGAUGGCUGGGUGGAUGGACGGACAGAUGGAAGUAGAACUAUACAGCAUCAGGGUUGGUCCUAAGCAAUCAUUUUCAAAUCAGGACGUGUAUAUCUGGGGGUAUCUCCUUUCUGUCAUCUCCUUCAACUGUUUAGAUAUUGUUGCCUUUCUAAGUUUGGACAUGCUCCAAGCCUUGUUUUUCCUCCUCUUUCUUAUCACAUUUUUCUUCUCUUCAGUUCUUCUAAGUGACUAUCUAGUUUGAUCAGUAAGUAAAAGGGGCUUUAUGUGUCAUGUCUCCAAGAUAGCUUGUAUAUUUUAUCAGAUAAUUUUUUUCUCACUGCUUCAUUCCACAGAAGUGACU